GACGAACGCUGGCGGCGUGCCUAAUACAUGCAAGUAGAACGCUGAAGGAGGAGCUUGCUUCUCUGGAUGAGUUGCGAACGGGUGAGUAGCGCGUAGGUAACCUGCCUGGUAGCGGGGGAUAACUAUUGGAAACGAUAGCUAAUACCGCAUAAGAGUAGAUGUCGCAUGACAUUUGCUUAAAAGGUGCAAUUGCAUCACUACCAGAUGGACCUGCGUUGUAUUAGCUAGUUGGUGAGGUAACGGCUCACCAAGGCAACGAUACAUAGCCGACCUGAGAGGGUGAUCGGCCACACUGGGACUGAGACACGGCCCAGACUCCUACGGGAGGCAGCAGUAGGGAAUCUUCGGCAAUGGACGGAAGUCUGACCGAGCAACGCCGUGUGAGUGAAGAAGGUUUUCGGAUCGUAAAGCUCUGUUGUAAGAGAAGAACGAGUGUGAGAGUGGAAAGUUCACACUGUGACGGUAGCUUACCAGAAAGGGACGGCUAACUACGUG
rnacentral:rRNA from 1 species